UCAGAUUGUGUUUGUGCCUUGUGCCACUGGGCGUCCGUGUCGGUUUGCAAAACAUUUCUCAGUUUUCGUUUCACCGUGCACAGUGCACACGCACGCACAAAAUCGUUACUGUUGUUAUUAUUAUUCUAUUGUAAUUUUUUUUCCAUCAGUUUCGAGUAGGUUUUUAUUAUUGUCAUCGUCGUUAUUAUUAUCGAAACGUAUCAAUCUUUAUUAGUAUAUUAAAAAAUCGUUAAUAUUAUAUUAUAUUGUUGUUCGUCGCGUUUUGUUUUUUUUUCCCAAAAUAUUUUAUCAUCCGCCGCCGCCGCCGUCGUCCGCGUUUACCGAGCAGCUCUCUUCUUCCAACGCCCGCACCACACGCCGAUCUCCGGACGCGUCGUGUCAACGUAAAACCCACUGCUUGCUGAUCGUUGAACCUCUCACGGAAAACCGAUCAUCGCCAAAACGAACGCAUCGGGGACGCGCCACCGUAGUGUAGCAUGUUAGGCCGCCAGUCGUCCGCCCUUCUACGUUUGUGAUAAACAAAGUUUUUCGAUACGGCCUCAAGCUGUGGACUGCAACGCCCUAUUUGAUCCCCCAUCAGGGGCUAUACUAUCCACAAAUGGUUCAAGGAGGAAUUGAUCCAUAUGCAUCACUCGCGGCAGCGUCUGGUGCAUUCCCUAUGCAACAACCCGGACAAAUGGCUGCGAUGACGCUUAAAAUGGCCAAUCCCCAGCAACCAACUCUAAUGCCAGCCACGGUGGCUGCACCUCAAAAUACAGCUCCACUUCCACCACAGGUGACUGUAGAAAGUGAUCCACCGUUGCCACCUAUUGCAUACUCACCCCCGACUGGGCUUAAUAUGUCCAUGGCGUCAUCACAACAACAGCAGCAGCAGCAUCAACAGCAUCAGCAACAUCAGCAGCAGCAGCAACAACAACAACAGCAGCAGCAACAACAACAACAACAACAACAACAACAACAACAACAACAACAACAACAGCAGCAACAACAACAACAACAACAGCAGCAAUCUGUUGGAUUAAUCAAGUCUGACCAACAACAAAUCACAGUCACUACAGCAUCACAACCGUUGGAAUGUACUAAUGCUACAAAUGCGUUGACUACACCGGUGUCAGUAUCUGUAGCCUCACCAACGAACAUUACCAAUGUUGGCGCUGGGUCCCCUUGUUCAUCUAGCGAAGACAAAAAUAUCCAAUCAAAGAGACUUCAUGUAUCAAAUAUACCCUUUAGAUUUAGAGAGCCUGACUUGCGUGCCAUGUUUGGGCAAUUUGGACCAAUUCUUGAUGUUGAAAUAAUAUUUAAUGAGCGUGGAUCAAAGGGAUUCGGUUUUGUAACGUUUGGGAAUAGCGCUGACGCUGAUGAGGCUCGCGAACAUCUUCACGGAACAGUUGUUGAAGGCAGAAAAAUAGAGGUGAACAAUGCAACAGCAAGAGUGCAAACUAAAAAAGUAGCUGCGCCUUUGCAAUUACCAAAUGUAUUACUCUCUAGAAACGGAGUAUUGCCGAACCUUGCCGCUGCAGCAGCACUCAGAGGGGCAGCUAUACAACGUGGCCGGGCUGUGGCGGCCGCGAACGCCGUCAGGAACGCGGCCGCAAUGGCUGCUGUGGCCGCGGCGUCCAACGGCGGAUUUCCGUCGGUCGGUGCUCCAGGAUUCAACACCGCUAGACUGCCAGCGACCAGCAUUGCCGUCACGCCCAAUCCGUUACAAGCUAUAAACACGGCUCCCGGUUCUUACGCCCCUAAAAUGUGUUUCAGUGGAGUGUACUAUGAUCCAUUCCUGGCAGCUCAAGCUGCAGACAAUAACUACAGGUUACAGGCAGGAGCAGUCAAUGAGAAAAAAAUCUUAUGUGUAACGGAUUACAAAGGCUGGAAAAGGGAAAUAUAACGUGAGUUUUAUAUACGAAAAAACAUGACGAAUGGCAUGGCCGGCCUUUUUUUCUUGACAUCACCGCUUCUAUAAUGUAGAUGCACUGAGAAAUCAGUGUCUUGAUCAUAUUUUAUAUUUUAUUAUAUGCGGUUACAAAGUAAUAUUUGUACAUACCUAUAUUAUAUUAAUUUUAUUAACACCAAAUUCUGUUAUUCGGAAUUUUCCUGAAAGUUUGUACUAAUCGGUUACAUAUAUAGAGCGCUAAUCAUUAUUUAUUAUUAACACUACGUUAUACAUAUAUAUUUUAAUUUUUGCACAGUCUUUGAUUCCUGUGAUUUUUUUUUUAAAUUUUUUUUUUUUUAGAACAUUAGGCAUUUGUUGCCUGAUUUUAGAAUCAAUAGCAUUUAUAAACAUUAAUGACACAUACACUCACAUACACAUAGUACAUACGUGUUAAAUUAUUAGGUAUACAUAGUGAUGGGUAUAUUAUGCAUUGAGAUCGUUUUGUCAAAUUUUAACAAUUAAUUAAAGUUCUUUUAUAAUAUUAUGUCUACAACAACAAUAGCAAGCACUAUUAUACAUCCCCGUUUACCAAUUCAUAUACAUAAUCCAUUUACUUAGCUAUGUUUUAAUACGACGUAAUAUGAUGUAUAUGUGUACACUUUUAAAUGUUUACACUAAUAUAUUGUUAGUCUAUAGAGUGAAAGGGUGAAAAAGAUAUUCAUAAAUAAUUCAAACAACACGAUUAAUGUGGAAAUGUGUCGCUACCCCGAAGUGGUAAUUGGCAUCAGUAGCUGCCGCAGCAGCAGCCGCGUCACCCCUACUUAAGGCCGCAGCCGCAGCCCAGGGGACUCCAGCGUUGUCGUCCGCCGCAGCGGUGGCCCAAGCGCAACAGGCAUCCUACGUUGCCGCCGCCACGUACACAGCCG
rnacentral:misc_RNA from 1 species